rnacentral:rRNA from 1 species
GACGAACGCUGGCGGCGUGCUUAACACAUGCAAGUCGAACGGAAAGGCCCUGCUUUUGUGGGGUGCUCGAGUGGCGAACGGGUGAGUAACACGUGAGUAACCUGCCCUUGACUUUGGGAUAACUUCAGGAAACUGGGGCUAAUACCGGAUAGGAGCUCCUGCUGCAUGGUGGGGGUUGGAAAGUUUCGGCGGUUGGGGAUGGACUCGCGGCUUAUCAGCUUGUUGGUGGGGUAGUGGCUUACCAAGGCUUUGACGGGUAGCCGGCCUGGGAGGGUGACCGGCCACAUUGGGACUGAGAGACGGCCCAGACUCCAACGGGAGGCAGCAGUGGGGAAUAUUGCACAAUGGGCGGAAGCCUGAUGCAGCAACGCCGCGUGCGGGAUGACGGCCUUCGGGUUGUAAACCGCUUUCGCCUGUGACGAAGCGUGAGUGACGGUAAUGAGUAAAGAAGCACCGGCUAACUACGUG